rnacentral:lncRNA from 1 species
AUGGAUUGGACGUCUCAAUCUAAUAAUCCUAUUACAAUCCAAAUCCGAUAAUCCGAUUAUAAAUGGAUCUGGAUAUGGAUUAUAGUAUAUUCGAUCCGACUUAAUAUGAAAUAUAAUUUAAUUUUUCUAAGCUUUAUAUUAAUAUUUUAUUAUGUAAAUGAGUAAUUUCAGUUUUAUAUGCACUAGUUGGGUCGUCAUCAGUGGUCG